rnacentral:rRNA from 1 species
GAUGAACGCUGGCAGAAUGCUUAACACAUGCCAGUCAACCUGAAUUUGGGUUUUUAUCUUAGGUUUUGGUGUCGGACGGGUGAGUAACGCGUGAAAAACUUGCCUCCCAGCUAGUGACAACAUUUGAAAACGAAUGCUCAUACCUCAUAUUAUGAUACUAGGUCAUCCUAUAAUUAUGAAAACUAUAGGCGCUGUGAGAGAGCUUUGCGUCCCAUUAGCUAGUUGGGGAGGUAACGGCUCACCAAGGCGAUGAUGGGUAGCCGGCCUGAGAGGGUGAUCGGCAACAAGGGAACGGAGAAACGGCCAUUACCCUUACGGGAGGAAGAAGUGGGGAAAAUUGGAAAAGGGACCGAGAGUGUGAUAGAGAAAUUCUGUGUGGACGAUGAAGUUUUUCGGAAUGUAAAGCGCUUGCAGGUGGGAAGAAACAAAUGACGGUACCAACAGAAGAAGUAACGGCUAAAUACGUG